UUGAACUCUUGACCGCAGAUGAUCCGCCUGCCUCGGCCUCCCAAAGUGCUGGGAUUACAGGCAUGAGCCACGGUGUCCGGCCGCAUCCCUGCUUCUUAAGCCUCUUCCUCUGCAGUCCAUCCUGAUUACUAACGAAUGGCCGAGAAGCACGACUUUCAUCCAGCCACUCCCAGCCUCAGAGCCUUCACGAGCUCCUUCUCGCUGCGGGAUAAAGCACAGCUCCUCCGCCAGCCCGGCGCGCAGCGGGCCUCACCUCUCCUGCCCGGCCCUCUCAAUUGUCCCCUGCUCUUCCACCAGGAUCCUUGAAUCCUGCCAGACCUCGCUCCCCUGGGCCUGGGGCGUCCCCGAACUCAUCCUCGCAGCUUCCCUGUCCCAGGAGGGCCCGCUGGCCAAAUCCUCCCCACUCUGCCUGCGGCGAGGCUUGCUGGACUAGCAGACUCAGAAUGGCCUGUUCUGAACAGCCUUGGGGUUUCCGUUUGCACAUUCUGAAGCAAAGCAAUGUGAGAACCGUUUUCAUUGCGUGAGGCAAGGUUUCUCAACCUGAGCACUAUUGACACUUUGGCCUGAAUAAUCUUUUCUGUGGGGGCUCUUCCCGUGCCCUGUAGGAAGUUUAGCAGCUUUCCUGGCCUCUGACCACGAGAUGCCAGUAGCACCUUCCAGUGUGGCAACCGGAAGUCUCCCGACACUGCCAAAUAUUCCCUGGGGGGACAGCUGCUGUGUAAGGGAAGGCUUGUACCACCAGCUGCACUCUCUCAACAGGAGGUUCACUGGAACUAGAUGUAGCAGCCACCUACUGCCACUAACCACAGAGUGGCCACCAGGCAUCUCCGGACACUGGCAGUUGGCAACCGCUCUGGUUCAGAUCAUCUGAAAUGAAGCCCUACACAGCCCAAGGACACGCCCACGUCUGCAACAGAACGCACACUGAGAGCUUCCUGUUGCCUGGGAAACGUGUUAAAUGUGCUACAGAGACACAGACUUGUAUCCAACAUUUCAGAGGUAGUCAGUAUGCAGCAGGAAAACAAAAUAAAACGCAGGCUGAAAGAAUGGGUGGGAUCCAAGGAAUCAAAGCAGUAGAUGGACGACCAGGAGCACCCCAAGUUAUCUUCAGGAAACAGAGCGACAAAACGCAAAGGACAGUGAAAGCAUUAAGAUAAGCAGCAUUCCACUGUAAAUCUUACACAAAAUGCCACAUCCACUGAUCACACGACCUUGAAAAAUGAAGAUAGGCAGCGUCGCACUUCCAAUCUUGUACUUCAGGGAAUGAACUCCAUUGCCUUUGUGUGCAGGAAGCCGGAAGCACGACCACUCUUUACCCUCGGCCUCAUUACAAGACCAAGACCUCUGCCUCGGCGCGGCAGCUCUCACCUGGAAUCCCAGCACUUUGGGAGGCCGAAGCGGACGGAUCACCUGAGGUGUCAGGAGUUUGAGACCAGCCUGGCCAACAAGGGACGCUCACCUACCUCAUGAAUUACGCGUGUCGCCCUCCUCGAGACGCCACAACGCAGUCCCCUGGGGAGCCAGCCGGAGACCUCUCCCUGCGGUGCUGUCUCCCCCGUGGUGGAACGGAAGCCCCUAAUAAAGCCUUGUCUGGGAAAUUUGCUUGGCCUCGUGUCAAUUUUUAUCGGAGCCUAAAGAACCUGUGGUCAGUAACACGAUCAUUUCAGUUAUCACUUAAGUUUUGGCUUCCUUAAUAUGAGAGUCAGUUUUGAAAAAUCAAAAAAGAGGCUGGGCGCCGUGG
rnacentral:lncRNA from 1 species